rnacentral:lncRNA from 1 species
CAGCUACUUCCGGUUUUUUGAUCGGUGCCUAGUGCCUUGAGACUUGGUCUUUUCCCAACGGAACUUAUAGUAUAGAGAUGUCAUUGACUCAUUGGUAAAACCAGCUGAACAGUGAACAUUGAACAAGACCAACACCAAUAGCCUAGGCCAAAUUAACAUUCUAAUCUAGAUCUAGAUAGAUCUAUAAUUGUUAUUGUCGGCCCUCGCUUUCUUCGAAAGCUCACCGGGUCACCUGUACUUCGAAGUUCGAAGGCAAGGCCUGCAUUGGACUCAAGAAGUAUCUAGAUCUAAGACUAGGAAUAUGGCUAUUGUAUUGGAUGAACCGACUGGUGUGGACAUUUUUCUAAACUAUGCCCUGUUUGCUGGUGCUAUGUUCCAGUUGAUGUGCAUAUUUGCUGUGAUAAUGUUCUCACACUCUAACGAGGAGAAGAAUGAGGAAGUGAGCAAUGGGCUCACUACACCAGGAUACCAGUCCUCCAAUUCUGGCAGACAAACGCAUGACCAGUCCUCACGUAAGGGGAAAAAAGAGAAGAAAAAGCAUAAGUGAUUCUUGUUUCACAGGUGUGCUCAGAGAGGUUCCUGGUGUGUGGAGGGAGUUUUGCAGAAAGAUGCAUCUGUCAUGUAGUAGAGGUAGCUAUGAUCAGUUCCAGUUAUCUGUUUCAGAAGUUUUUACACAUUUAUAGAAUUGAUUAUCAACAUUUGCAGUCAAUGAAGAAUCUGUUUUUGUCAAUUCACACUAUUAAUGUUGGUUUCUGUAACUUUGUCAUAAGUCGCGAUGUGCUUAUUUUACGGUAAAUGAAUACAAAGAAUACUGCAGAACAAAAUGUUCUUACCCUAGAAUGUGAAAAUUUUGCAUUCAUACACAGUCUCAUGCAGUUAAUACAUGUCGGAUGACUGAAUUGAUUUUUGCUUUUCUGCAUAGUUUUUUUUUCAAGUGUUAUUUUUACUGUCCAUUUUGUCCAUAAUUUGUUUUUCUAAAAUAUUAUAAUUUUUCAAACGAAAAGCCUCUGUCAUGAGAUGCAUUUAUGUAAUCAUUAUGCUCCAAACAUUUCAUAGGCCUUUGUUAAAAAUUUUUCAAGAUACAGUAUUCUUUAUAAGGCAUGCCAUGACAAAAACACAAUUUUGAUAAAAAAUGCAAAAAUUUUAAAAUCAAAUUUCAAAAACGUACUGCUUUCUUUUUGGCAUUUCUCUCAAGCUUUAUGUAUAUUUCCAUACAUAACAAACAUCGGUAACAUAUUCCUCGAAUAUGAUUUCUUAUCAGAAUCAACCAAAAUAUUUUUGCGGAGAUAUUUAUCAAUUAUCACCAGACCAAUAAAUUUACCUGGUGUCUUUCCAGUCGAUUGCCUUAUAUUACCACAUAAAUGUGACUCUUUUAAUUGAAGAAAUGUGAAUCUUGUUAUCUCAUUCCAUUGCUGUUUUCUUAUAAAGAACAUAUCUUAUAAUAUAUAUCAUAUAGUAUCUUAAUCAUAGAUUGAAUGAAAUCCUUCUUGUUUGAAAUCUUUACAUCAUAUGUAGACAUGGUCUUGAAAUGAAGGAAAAGGUUAUGAAAUUAUUUUUUCACUUUCGUUGAUGACAAAUGAAUUAUCCAUGAAAAGAAAAAAAGGAAAAAUCUAACUGUGUUUUAUAAUCCAGUUGACUGGAAAGUUCAUGCUUGAAAUAUUGAUGACAUUUAUGAACUGUUGAUAAUCCAUUCUAGUUUUGUAUGAGAACGAAUUAUCCCUGUUCUGUAGAAUUGUAUGAAGGAAUCAAAUGUAAAUUUUGUACCAUUGUCAGCACUUUUGUAUAAAUUUGCCCCUUCUGCUAUUCAGACUCAUGGUCUCACUCUCUCUACGUUUCUGUCUUUUUCUUUCCCUCUGUCUGCUUCUCUUUACCGUAUGAUAAUUGAUUCGUGACAUAAAAGGAUAGAAUGAUUGGGUUUGAAGUCUUUGCUUAUACUUGUUAAUUUUUUAAAAACUCUUCUGAGUUGCCCUUUGUUGCUUUUUAUGUUGAAUGAUCUUCAGACUGAGAAAUGGAAAAUGUCAAUGAAAAUAAGUUUUGCUUUCCUUUGAAGAUGAAUUGUGAAUCCAAGAAAAUGCUGACAAAAUUGUCAUCCUUAAAAAUAAAACCCAAAUAGCCAGAGGAAUAGUAUAUAGUUUAUCAACUUACACUUUCUCCUUUUAUGUAGAAAAUAGAAACAGGCUUGGAAGCGUUGUCCUGUGUCAAGAUUUCAACCCAGGAGAGUCACCCAUGAAAACAAAAUCACUGCGUACGAGGUGAAAUGUCUCCACAAAACUCCUAACAUCAAAAAAAGACACAGGCAGAGAAAUGAAGAAAAGUAAGAGCGACAAUUGGCACUGAGUCCCGCCUGCAUUUCAUAGCUGUGUAUAAAAUGGUUUGGCUACCUGUUACGAGUGUCACAUAGCCAGCCAGCCUUCAGACCUAUAAAACCAAGUACUCAGGCUAUAAAGGAAGAGGUAGACCACGCAAAAAGAUGGAUUGAGGGAGUCAAGGAAACCCUGAGAAAUCACAAUAUCCCGAUUGAAAGAGCUGCCGAGCUAGCAUACAGUAGAAACCUUAAAAAGUAAAAGUAAAGUAAGUUGAGGCACAGCAUUAUGGUUAGACUUACUUGUUUUCAGCGCUGAUGGGCUGAAAACAAACAUAUGGCUAGGCAUGAUUUCAUUUCAUUUAUUAUACUAGUAACUGAGCAUGAAUAGCUGAUGAGAAGAAUAUGCUUCCACAAAAAUGUUUCCAUCAUUUAUCUUUUUUUUUUAACUUGAUAAAAGAAAACGUGCCUAAAUUUUUUUUAAAGUAUGUGAAACAUUACACUUCUGCACAUGUAUUGCUGUUCAUUCAAGUUUCUCGCCCAGAAUUCUGUAGCAACUGGUGUGAAACUGUCUUUCGACAAACUAUGAUUUAUAAAAAUAUGUACUGUGUUCGUUAUUUUGCACUAACUUUUCUUUUUUUGGAAAAAAAAAUAUUUGCUGAUAUUUGCUGGUCUUGUGAAAAUGGAUUUUUAAAGUAUUCUACACUAACUUGCAAUAAAAACAUAGUUUUGACUCGAUAAAGUUUAUGAAUGUCUUUCUCAAGCAUACAUUAAAUUGAAAAAUUUGUGCUUCUUUCACAGCAUCUCAUUCAAUGUAAAUAACAUUUUGGAAUGCCAGUUACUUGUUGUGAUUUUAAAUCUGAUCAUGAUAAAUUCAAAGAUGAUGGGUAUGUUUUAAUUCCAUAAUUUGUGGGUUUUUACAGCUGUGGUUUUGUCCCUUGUUGACUACCGAAGAAGCUGUGAACUUGAAUAAAUCAUUUUUGCAUGAAAUGAUCGUGAUUAGCAGAAAAUAUACUGACGACAAACAUUUUUGUUUCUGUUUCUUGGACAAAUGCAGUCUCUUACAACAACUAUUUGAUAAGUCGAAGUGUCUUACUAUGUUAAGAAUGAUGGUGUUGUUGCUAGGAAACAGACACAGUCUGUUUUGAGAAAGAAGAUCGCAGAAUUAAUUUCUGUCUUAAUUUAUCAAACUUUUUGAGCAAAAGCCUAUUUUUGUAGGUAGUCCUUUGUUGCCGAAGAUGAUGAUGAAAUCCUGCAGCUCAUCUGAGGAUGCGCAUGUGGCUGUGCAGUCCGAUCUUGGAUGUAUAAUGUCUGUUGCAGUGGGGAUACUGGAAUGUUGUGUUUCAGGUGGUUGGAUUAUGUCUCUUCUCUCUUCUGAUAGUCAGCUUCUCCCUGUAGUUGAUAUAGCUCAGUGAGAAAUCAGGGUUUUCCAUUUAUUAUGACAAAUAAAAAGUCCAUGUCACUGUGUAGAAAUGAAGCUGCAAGAAAGGUUUAUUUGUGUGAAGUUAAUUUGCAUAGAAAACCCAUUCUGUCAUGUUUUUAUGCUUCUGGGGUUUAUCUGUAUCGUGAGGUUUCCAGUGUCUCUCAUUUUUUGGUGAGACUUUUUUGUCCAUUUUGAUAGGGUGUACUGCCUGAGGUUGAAAUCAGGACUAAGUACUGAUGAAUACAUAUGAUUUUUAAAAAAUAGGUACUACUGUGUGUAAGUUCUGGCCGAGCUUAUUUCCCAGUUGAAGUUUUCAUUUGUAUGCAGUGUGCACCAAAUAAGUACAAUAUAGUCACUGUGAAGUCAGUGCUUGGUUAAUUCUUAUAUUAUGCCAUUGGCCCUGAUUUUCUUAAAAUUCUAUACGAUUUUGGAUAGGGUCUCUCUUUACGUUAUAUCAAUUGCAUUCUCACCACUGGAGAUUUUGGUCAUUAUACACAUGAAUAGCAUGAAUUUAUCCUUGAAAUACAGUUCACGCAAUAGUGGUGUUCUUGAAAAACUCAAUUGUUUAUCAAGUGUAAAUUGUACUGUCGUGUGGGAUUUGUUGGUCUGUUCAUCCUGCUUGAACACACAUCAGGAUACGUACUUUCAUGUUAUUUUUUAUUUGUAAAAUGACAUUUAUAUUACAUUACAUAUAUCAUCAUUGGUCAUCCGGCCUCAUCAUUCUUAGACCAAUUAACAAUAAACUUUUGAUAAUCAUC